AGGGUUCGAUUCUGGCUCAGGAUGAACGCUGGCGGCGUGCUUAACACAUGCAAGUUGCGCGGUGAUCUCAAGAAGUUUCGGACGGAAAGGGAGAGCAGCAGCGGACGGGUGAGUAAAGCACAAGGACUUGUCCCGAAGAGGGGGACAACUGUGGGAAACCACAGCUAAUACCCCAUAAGCCGAGAGGUGAAAGCAGUAAUGCGCUUUAGGAGAGACUUGUGUCCUAUCAGGUAGUUGGUGAGGUAACGGCUCACCAAGCCGAAGACGGGUAGCCGGACUGAGAGGUUGUACGGCCACAUUGGAACUGAGAGACGGUCCAGACUCCUACGGGAGGCAGCAGUGGGGAAUAUUGGGCAAUGGAGGCAACCCUGACCCAGCGACGCCGCGUGAGGGAAGACAGCCUUCGGGUUGUAAACCUCUGUUGCAGGGGAAGAAGAAAGUGACGGUACCCUGCGAGGAAGCUCCGGCAAACUACGUGCCAGCCGCCGC
rnacentral:rRNA from 1 species